rnacentral:rRNA from 1 species
GUGUCAGCAGCCGCGGUAAGACAGAGGAGCCAAGCGUUGUCCGGAUUGACUGGGCGUAAAGCGCACGCAGGCGGCUGUGCACGUGGGGUGUGAAAGCUGGCGGCUUAACUGCCAGACGCCACCUCAUACGGCACGGCUCGAGCCCGUGAGAGGUCCACGGAAUUGCCGGUGUAGUGGUGAAAUGCGUAGAGAUCGGCAGGAACACCCAGGGGGAAACCAGUGGACUGGCACGGUGCUGACGCUCAGGUGCGAAAGCGUGGGGAGCGAACCGGAUUAGAUACCCUGGUAGUCC